ensembl:lncRNA
AUGUGUCACAAUGUACAACUUGGGAGCUGCAAUUUUUGUUCCUCCGUGAGGAAAUGCCUCAGAAUGUUGUUCAGUCACACCUUUGUCUGCCUGCAGCGAGCACGGCGACCGUCGACUCCUAGGAUGGAGAACGAAAUCAUCUAUUCCACGGUGGUCUUCAGUAAGAAGGAUGGCGCUCCGGAGAAGAAAAAAGACCCCACAGUUGAUCCUAAAGGGAAACCUGAGGAGGCUCCUAACGCACCAGACGGCAAAGAAGCCGCGUGCUCCCGCUUUGCUGCGUUGCUGGCGUGCUCGGGGACACUUUGUGUCCUGCUGGCGGCAAGCGUCACCGUCGUUGUCUACCUCGGUUCCGUAAUGAAGGAACAGGAAGCGAACCUCAGCCGGCUCAACGCGGAGAAGCAGCUGCUGCUGGAGGAGAUGAGCAUCUUAAGCUCCGUCACACACCAUCUCAACUGGACACUGGGAGUCAUCAUGCACUAUCACGCCUUUCCAGUGGUCGACUUCUGCCCGGAUAAAAGUGAGUGGGCCUUUUCCCCACGUUGGCCGGUUAUGAAGCUACAAGAUGCACUAUGGGUGUGGUUGGUGGUUCGAGCCCCGGCUGCUCCAUGUCCGAAGUGUCUCUGAGCAAGGCGCUAAAUCCCUUAUUUGCUCCCUGGGCAAAAAUGUAAACGCUUAAAAUGUUAAGUUGCAACGUAAGUUGCUUUGGAUAAAAGCGUCAGCUAAAUGACGUGUGAAUUCUGAAACCUUGUAAAACUAAUUUAGUACAAAAAAGCAGAACUGACAACAGAGUAGAUUAUUACGUCAAAAGAGCAAAUUGUUAAUAAAUGAUAAAAGAUAAACAUUAAGUCCGGAGAGGAAGCACAACCUUGUAAAUGUCCGCAAGAGAAGAAGUAGCAAAAUACACGAAUUAGUUACAUUAAUAUUAACUUUAUAUACUAGCACUUUAGAUUCAGACUA